rnacentral:rRNA from 1 species
UACGUAGGGUGCAAGCGUUAAUCGGAAUUACUGGGCGUAAAGCGUGCGCAGGCGGUUUUGUAAGUCAGAUGUGAAAUCCCCGGGCUUAACCUGGGAACUGCGUUUGAAACUACAAGGCUAGAGUGUGGCAGAGGGGGGUAGAAUUCCACGUGUAGCAGUGAAAUGCGUAGAGAUGUGGAGGAACACCGAUGGCGAAGGCAGCCCCCUGGGUCAAGAUUGACGCUCAUGCACGAAAGCGUGGGGAGCAAACAGG